rnacentral:rRNA from 1 species
AGGAUAAACACUGGCGGCGUGCCUAACACAUGCAAGUCGAACGCGCUUACUAUCCGCGAGGAGGGUGAGCGAGUGGCGGACGGGUGAGGAACACGUGGGUGACCUACCUUUCAGUGAGGGAUACCGGCGAGAAAUUGCCGACAAGACCGCAUACGCUUCUCUUUUCAAGGGGGAGAAGGAAAGCUUUUCGCAAGAGAGGCGCUGGGAGAUGGGCCUGCGGCCGAUUAGCUAGCUGGUGGGGUAAUGGCCUACCAGGGCGACGAUCGGUAGCUGGUCUGAGAGGACGAUCAGCCACACUGGGAUUGAGAACGGCCCAGACUCCUACGGGGGGCAGCAGUGAGGAAUUUUCGGCAAUGGGGGCAACCCUGACCGAGCAACGCCGCGUGCAGGAAGAAGGUUUUCGGAUCGUAAACUGCUUUUCUCGGGGAAGAGAACGGACGGUACCCGAGGAAGAAGCCCCGGCUAACUACGUGCCAGCAGCCGC